GAUGAACGCUGGCGGCGUGCCUAAUACAUGCAAGUCGAGCGAACGGACGUGAAUCUUGCUUUUCUGAUGUUAGCGGCGGACGGGUGAGUAACACGUGGAUAACCUACCUAUAAGACUGGGAUAACUUCGAGAAACCGGAGCUAAUACCGGAUAAUAUUUUGAACCGCAUGGUUCAAAAGUGAAAGACGGUCUUGCUGUCACUUAUAGAUGGAUCCGAGCUGCAUUAGCUAGUUGGUAAGGUAACGGCUUACCAAGGCAAGGAUGCAUAGCCGACCUGAGAGAGGGACAGGCCCCACUGGGACUGAGUGACGGGCCAGACUGCUACGGGAGGCAGGAGUAGGGACUCAUCCGAGAUAGGAGAAAGGAUGACGGAGCAACGCCGCGUGAGUGAUGAAGGUCUUCGGAUCGUAAAACACUGUUAUUAGGGAAGAACAUAUGUGUAAGUAACUGUGCAAAUAUUGACGGUACCUAAUCAGAAAGCAACGGCUAACUCCGUG
rnacentral:rRNA from 1 species